UGGGGAAUUUUGCGCAAUGGGCGAAAGCCUGACGCAGCAACGCCGCGUGGAGGAUGAAGGUCUUCGGAUUGUAAACUCCUGUCAGCAGGGAACAAAUACGCCGGGCUCAUACCCCGGCGGGUUGAGUGUACCUGCAGAGGAAGCCCCGGCUAACUCUGUGCCAGCAGCCGCGGUAAUACAGAGGGGGCAAGCGUUAUUCGGAAUUAUUGGGCGUAAAGGGCGCGUAGGCGGCUUCGCAAGUGGAUGGUGAAAUCCCUCGGCUCAACCGAGGAACUGCCGUCCAAACUGCGUGGCUUGAGUCCGGGAGAGGUGAGUGGAAUUCCCAGUGUAGCGGUGAAAUGCGUAGAUAUUGGGAGGAACACCAGUGGCGAAGGCGGCUCACUGGACCGGAACUGACGCUGAGGCGCGAAAGCGUGGGGAGCAAACGGG
rnacentral:rRNA from 1 species